rnacentral:lncRNA from 10 species
ACUGGCUGGUGGAAUCCUUGCGCUUGUACCAGGAUUUCUAUGCAUUCGACCUGUCAGGAGCCACUCGAGUCCUUGAAUGGAUUGAUGACAAAGGAGUCUUUGUUGCUGGCUAUGAAAGCCUGAAAAAGAAUGAAAUUCUUCAUCUGAAAUUACCUCUCAGACUUUCUGUAAAGGAAAACAAGGGCUUAUUCCCAGAAAGAGAUUUCAAAGUGCGCCAUGGAGGAUUUUCAGACAGGUCUAUCUUUGAUCUAAAGCAUGUGCCACAUACCAGAUUGCUGGUUACCAGUGGCCUUCCAGGUUGUUAUCUGCAGGUGUGGCAGGUUGCAGAGGACAGUGCUACUCAGGAGGCUGAGGCAGAAGAAUUUCUUGAACCUGAGAGGCGGAGGCUGCAGUGAGCUGAGAUUGUGCCACUGGACUCCAGCCUGGGCAACAGAGUGAGACUCUGUCUCAAAAAAACAAAAGAACCAAAACAAAACUUGACUCAAAGCCAAGGAUGUUCCAUUCAGUGUAAAAAAGAUGUGGACUUUCUUGUCCACCUUACAAGACAAUGACAUCUGUAAUGUGACCUGUACUUGCUAGGCUUUAGCAAGUCACUCGAGGUCAUGGAACAUGUUUUUGAAGAAAUAAUAUCAGUUCAUGAAUUCUGUACCUGUUUCUUGUCGCUGAAGGGAUGUCAUUAAAGCUGUCAGCACCAUUGCUGUGCAUGAGAAAGAGGAGAGUCUCUGGCCUAGGGUGGCCGUCUUCUCCACAUUGGCACCCGGAGUCCUCCAUGGGGCGAGGCUCCGAAGUCUGCAGGUCGUUGAUCUGGAGUCCCGGAAGACCACGUACACCUCAGGUGUUGGGGAUACACAGUGAAUAAGAGGUAAGCCCUGGCCUCUAAGGGCUCCUAUGCUGGGGCAGGAUUAGGCAGUCCCAGGGACCAGCACCCAACCA